rnacentral:rRNA from 1 species
CAAGUCGAGCGGCAGCGACAACAUUGAACCUUCGGGGGAUUUGUUGGGCGGCGAGCGGCGGACGGGUGAGUAAUGCCUGGGAAAUUGCCCUGAUGUGGGGGAUAACCAUUGGAAACGAUGGCUAAUACCGCAUGAUAGCUUCGGCUCAAAGAGGGGGACCUUCGGGCCUCUCGCGUCAGGAUAUGCCCAGGUGGGAUUAGCUAGUUGGUGAGGUAAGGGCUCACCAAGGCGACGAUCCCUAGCUGGUCUGAGAGGAUGAUCAGCCACACUGGAACUGAGACACGGUCCAGACUCCUACGGGAGGCAGCAGUGGGGAAUAUUGCACAAUGGGCGCAAGCCUGAUGCAGCCAUGCCGCGUGUAUGAAGAAGGCCUUCGGGUUGUAAAGUACUUUCAGCAGUGAGGAAGGAGGUAUCGUUAAUAGCGGUAUCUUUUGACGUUAGCUGCAGAAGAAGCACCGGCUAACUCCGUGCCA